rnacentral:pre_miRNA from 1 species
AGUGGAAUUGCUGGGUCAUAUGGCAGGUCUAUAUUCAGCUUUUUAAGGAACUGCCAAACAGUUUUCCAUAGCAGCUGUACCAUUUUGCAUUCCCACCAGCAAU